UACGAAGGGUGCAAGCGUUACUCGGAAUUACUGGGCGUAAAGCGUGCGUAGGUGGUUCGUUAAGUCUGUCGUGAAAGCCCCGGGCUCAACCCGGGAAGUGCACUCGAAACUGUGAGGCUAGAGUAUCGGAGAGGUUGGUGGAAUUCUCGGUGUAGAGGUGAAAUUCGUAGAUAUCGGGAGGAACACCGGUGGCGAAGGCGGCGACCUGGGGUAGAUACUGACGCUGAGGUGCGAAAGCGUGGGGAGCAACAGG
rnacentral:rRNA from 1 species